rnacentral:lncRNA from 1 species
UCAGGGGCACAGUAUAUUCAUGGGGGCAUUUUUAGUUCUGCACUUCUGCCUACUCUGGCCUACCUGAGCUGCCCGCCCCUGGUCUCCCUUGCACCCUCUGUGUAUGCAGCUCCCUGGAGCUCUGAGUGUGAGCUCAUGGCCAGGCCAGUGUGCUGUGUAUGGAGGCCCAGCCUCCCUGCCUCCUGGAUGGCCUCCAUCCUCCUGCUGCUGGAUGAUUUGCACUGUCCUCCUCGACAUGGCUGCCUAGUACUGACUCCACAGAAAGCCCUGGGGAGGGCCUAGUGGGAGUCCCUGGGAUUUAUCGCUUUACCUUUCAGAGUAUAUGUUCUUAUGUCAGAAAUAGGGAAAAGAUACUUGUCUGGUAACAAGAUGUCAGUGGGUCUGGUUAAGUAGACACUGUGGAACAGUGGUUUAUACACAGGAAGAAAAUUAUCAAAGCUGUUAUCACUGAAUUAUUGAUGUGUGUAAAUUAAACAUCUUAGUGUAUGUAUCAAGAAUCUGUUCAAGUAACAGAAAACUCAUGAUAUAGUGAGUUGUUUCUCACACAUGAGGAGUCCCAAGGUUCCUAGUCUCUGGUUGAUGUUUCUGUGAUUCUCCUGACCACCUGGCCACAAGAUGGCUGCUGAAACACUAGCCAUCACGUCCUAGUUCAAGGGAGGAAAAGGGAUCAGUGAGUGCCAGCUAUUUCUGAUUUUCUUUUUUCGGGAUUGCAAAGAUUUCCCAGAAUUCUCCAGACAGAUUUAUACUUAGGUUUUAUUGGCCAGAACUGGGUCACAUGGCUACCAGGGGCUCAGAGGGAGGCAGAGACAGCAGGGGAUAGUGUUGUAUUAAAUUAGCUGGUGUUGGCUCAUCCCCCACCAAGAUCCAUUGCCUGAGGCCAGGCACAUGAACCCACCAUCACCACCAAAGCUGGGUUCUGAUGGUGAGAAAGAAGGGGACUGAGGCCAGGUGAACAACAAACAAAAGCAGUGUCUCUCAAGGAUACACUUUACUGCCUAAGAGCUGGAGUGCAAAAUUACCCCUGGUAGAAAGGCUACAGGAUUCUCUGAAAGGAACACUGUCCAGUAUUUCUUAUCUGGGAUUUGGAUCGAAGAUAGUCUGGGGGACUUGGAGCCAGGAGUGACUCUCGCCUGGUGGAAGGCAGGUGUUGGGACCUGACCCUGGUUUGUCCUCUAUCCUCUCCCACACGCUGGCUGCCAUCUUCUUCCUUGCACCCUUCUCCUUUCCCAUUGGCAUCUGUCUUGGAUGUCUCCACACACCUCUCCAUCUCUUGGCUUCCUGCUGGCUUUGCUUUUCCUUCAGUUUUCACUUUGGUCAUUUGUGCAAGAAGGUUCAAAAGGAAGGUUUCUUCAACAGGUCAUGCUGGGCAUGGUGGACAGCUCCAUGUAAAACAGUGAGAUUAGAACACUCCUUCACACCAUAUACAAAAAUAAAGUCAAAAUGAAUUAAAGACCUAAGCAUAAGGUCUGAAGCCAUAAAAUUCCUCAAAAAGAACCUAGGCAAAAUAUUCUGUGACAUAAAUUGAGGCAAUGUUUUCUUAGCCCAAUCUCCCAAGGCAAUAGAAAUAAAAAUAAGGAAGUGGGACCUAUUUAAACUUAAAAGAUCCUGCACAGCAAAGGAAACCAUUGACAAAAUGAAAAGACCUACAGAAUGAGAGAAAAUAUUUGCAAAUGAUGUGACUGACAGGGGGUUAAUACCCAAAAUACAUAAAUGGCUCAAUACCUCAAUAUCAAAAAACAAACAACCCAAUCAAAAGAUGGGCAGAAGACCAGAAUAUAUAUUUCUCCAAAGAAGACCUAUAGAUGGCAAAUAGGCUCAUGAAAAGAUGUUCAGCAUUGCUAACUAUUAGGAAAAUGCAAAUUAAAACUUCAGUGAGGUUAUCACUUCACAUCUGUCAGAAUGGCCAUCAUCAAAAAGUUUACAAAUAACAUGUUGGAGAGGGUUUGAAGAGAAGGGAACGCUCCUGUGCUAUUGGUAGGAAUGUAAAUUGGUGCAGCUGCUGUGGAAAACAAUAUGGAAGUUCCUCAGAAAAUAAAGGUAGAACUACCAUAUGAUCCAGCAAUUCCAUUCUUGAGUAUAUAUCAAAAGAAAACAAAAACACUAUUCAAAAAGAUACGUGCACCCCAAUGUUCAUAGCAACACUUUUUACAAUAGCCAAGACAUGGAGGCAACCCCAGUGCCCACAAACAGAUGACUGGAUAAAGAAGAUGUGGUACAUAUAUAUAAUGUAAUAUUCAUUACUCAGCCAUUAAAAAGAAUGACAUGCAUGGGAGUUCCCAUCAUUGUGCCAUAGGAGCAAAUCUGACUAGGAACCAUGAGGUUGUGGUUUUGAUCCCUGGCCUUGCUCAGUGGGUUAAGGAUCCAGUGUUGCCAUGAGCUGUGGUGUAGGUCACAGACGUGGCUCGGACCUGAUCUUGCUGUUGCUGUUGCUGUGGUGUAGGUUGGUGACUACAGCUCCGAUUGGACCCCUAUCCUGGAAACUUCCAUAUGCCAUGAAUGUGGCCCUAAAAAGACAAAAAAAAAAAAAAAAAUGCUGCCAUUUGCAGCAAGCUGGAUGGGCCUAGAGAUUAUCAUACAAAGUGAAGUCAGACCGAGAAAGACAAAUACUGUAUGAUAUUGCUUAUAUGUGGAAUCUGACAGAAAUGAAUGUAUAUGCAAAACAGAAACAGACUCAGAGACAUAGAAAACAAAUAUAUGGUUACCAAAGGAGAGAGGGAAAGCAUGGGGCAAGCUGGGGGUAGAGGAUUAAGAGAUACAAACUCUAUUAUGUGUAAAAUACAUAGCAAGGAUAUAUUGUACAACCUAGGGAAUUAUAGCCAUUAUCUUGUAUUUACUUAAAAUCUGCAAAAAUACUGAAUCAGGUAUAUUCUGUAUACCUGAAACUAAUAUAAUAUGGGAAAUCAACCAUACUGCAAUAAAAAAAGAAAAGCAGGAUGCUGUGCCUGAUUAAACAUUGUAACAGGAAGCAGGCCUGGGUGUCACCCUAUCAGGGUGGGGUUGGGAAAGACCAGGGCUGGGCUGUCUCCUUGGGCACCUGGUCUGUGUGCACGAGCUCAGCACCACUGCCCUGAGAAGUCCUUCCGAGCUCAUGUUCCUGGACAUGUUCAUCUAAAUACGGUGCAUGUUGUGAGAAUGUGGCCCAUGUCACUGUGGAUGCUUGACUCUAUUUCCAGGAAUUCUGGUUCACCUUGAGGAUUGUGUAAGGAGGCAGAAUUUUGCCCAAAUAGGAAGACUGCUUUGCAUUGAAAGUUGAUCCUGGCACCUUGCUGAUGGUUUGGCAAUUGUCCAAUUGUGUUUUCAUUGAAGUUGUGGACAUUUGAGGGUUUUUUCCCUCUUGGUAUCAGAUUUUUAUCCCACCAUCUGUAGGCAUUUAUUAGCUCAGCUGUAGCACAAAAUAGUAGAUGUUUGGAUUUUCUCCCCUCUGACCCUCUCUUAGUCCAUUUGGGUGGCUGUAACCAAAAUACCAUGGACUGGGCAGCUUGUAAACCACAGAAAUUUUAUUCUCACAAGUGAGGGAGCUCUGUGGGGUCUCUUCUGUAAGAACACUAAUCCCAUUCACAAGGGCCCCACCCUCAUGACCUAUCGAUCUCCCAAAGAUUCCACCUCCUAAUAGAUCAUCUUUGGGGGUUAGGAUUUCAACAUAUGAAUUUGGGAAGAGCAUAAACAUUCAGACCAUAGCAGACCCUUUCUCUGUGUAGAAGUUGCACAUGUUUUGAGGUGUCAGCUGCUUCAAGUGCCAAAGGAAGAUGACGUCUAUUACUAGUUUAAGGAAAAAGUUUGAUUAAACAAUGGCAACUCUAGGCAGGGAAACUUCCUCUGCAUCAUUAAAAGUAAAAACAGCAUAUUGGAGUUCCUGUUGUGACUCAGUGGGUUAAGAACCUGACAUGGUGUCCAUGAGGGUGCAGGGUCAGGCCUUGCUGAGUGGGUUAAGGAUCCUCCUGCGUUGCUGCAAGCUGCAGUAUAGGUCAAGAUGUGGUUCAGAUCCGAUGUUGCUAUGGCUGUGGCAUAGCAGUAACGAACCUGACUAGCAUCCAUGAGGACGUGGGUUCAAUCCCUGUCCACUCUCAAUGGGUUAAGGAUCCGGUGUUGCCAUGAGCUGUGGUGUAGUUCUCAGAUGUGGCUGAAAUAUGGCAUGGCUGUGGCUGUGGCUGUGGCCAGCAGCUGCAACUCUGAUUUGACUCCUAGUCUGGGAAAUUCCUUAUGCUUUUGGUGUGGCCCUAAAAAGACAAAAAAAAAAUUAAAAAAUAAAGAAGUGACAUAGACCAAGGCAUAGACACGGCAGGGGGCAGCUUCCUAGAAGGGUUCUGUUACUUCCUUUGCUGUGUUGUUUGCUUGUUUUCUGCUCUCUGAUGUCAGAUCUAUUUUACUUCUGUGAGGAUAUGAGACUCUAAUCAAAUGUAGCACAUCCAUGGCUGGGAGACUGGCUGCAGUCGGCACAGCUGUGGUGCCAGACAGAGCCUUGUGACCUUGCUGAGCCACUGUGGGCAUCUCCAGCUCUUUCUCCAGAAUCUGCCCAGACUGGAGCUCGUCCUGGUCAACCCCCAAGUCAUUUUGAGCCCAGAUAAGAGAUCAAAUGUAUUUCUCCAUUUUUUGCUGCAUCUCUUGGACUAAAUGAGAGUGCAGUUUGGAGACAGAAGAAGUAAUAUAUAAGAGCUUAAUAAUAGGAACUUAGAAUUUUAAUCAGAAAUUAAGCGCAUUCAGGAGUUCCUGUCAUGGCUCAGUGGUUAACGAACCCAACUAGUAUCCAUGAGGAUUCAGGUUCUAUUCCUGGCCUUGCUUAGUGGGUUAAGGAUCUGGCAUUGCAGUGAGCUGUGGUGUAGGUCACAGACACAGCUUGGAUCAUGCAUUGCUAUGGCUGUGAUGUAGGCUGGCAGCUGUAGCUCUGAUUCGACCCCUAGCCUGGAAACCUCCAUAUGCUGUGGGU